rnacentral:misc_RNA from 1 species
GUUUGGCGCUUCAUAUCAACCUUAUACACGAUAUGCUAAACGCAGCUGAUUGUCACAUUUGUGUCUUACGUAAUCCUUACCUUGUUUCAUUUUUUUGGAUAACGCAUAAAAUUACUACACCUGUAAAUCUUUGCUGGAUAGUUCACGCGCAGAUAGAAGCAAAAUGUCUGCAUUUAUUGGAGCCCUACUAGAUGUCUCUGGAUCCAUGAAAAGUAGCAUUGGUGACGGUAUAGACGAAGAAGGCGGAACAUGGGCUCAUUCAAUAUUCAGAGUAGCAAAUGAUCUUGUCAAACACGACGUUUCAAGAUCCAAUCGUGUUUUCGUUAUUGGUCUUGGGGCUUUAUAUUCACAAGAAAGAUUCGACAUAAUCUCCACUAUUGAGCAGUGCCAGAACACAGAAGGCGGCGAAAUACCCCUUACGAAUUUAGAUAUAAAGGCUACAGAUUCAACGAUUGAAAACAUUUUUAUUUUAUUGGAACAGAAUGGUGCGCACACUAUAAGAAGGUGGGCAGAGGCAAAUGUAGUGAAGAAUGCGGUGUCUGAAUACAUGGCGACGAUAGUACUCAGAAAACUGAGAUCCGACAGAAAUUUCACGCAGAAGUUUGUACGCGAGGAUUUGCCCGCAGCCUGUCGAAGUUGGGAACAGGUGCCUGGUGGGUCUUUCCUGCAAAGUGUUUUUUCUAUUGCCGUGACACCAUUCCGAAAUGCGACAAAGGGAGACAUCGAAGAGGUUAUCGCGAAGGCUUUAAUGAAAGGCGUUUGUGACCAGUCAGUAUACAAUGUCAAAGAUGCCGCUAACGUCCUUCAUGGAUGUAUUGAGGAAAGAGACCUUACGUCUCGGAGAGUCCGUGAAUUACUAAAGCUUGUGGAACCGUUCAUUUAUGGUAACACGCCGUUGUAUUCUGCUUUAUAUGACGCAUCUAGAUUAUUUCAGAGAUUGGAGAGAAGAUAUCCAAACCAUCAUAGGUUAUUGUUUGUCCUCUCUGAUGGUAAUCCAACAGAUUUCGGAAAUAUCUACUCAAUACAGUCGGAUCUGAAACGAGCAGAGGUAAAAGUCGUGAGCUGCUACAUCUCUAGAUCGUCUCAUGUUGAACCUCGAAUGCUACACAGCGUUGCUGAACGACGCUGGGAAGAAGGCGCGAAGUUUCUGUUUGAUUUGAGUUCGUACAUUCCAACAUCAUUAGUAACUAGGGCGAUAUUUAUCAAGAAUGGCUGGAAGAUUGAGAUAACUAACAACGAGACCAGGUUGUUCAUGCAUGUUAAUCACCCGGACAACUUAAAAGAUGUAUGCAACUUGGCACGAAAUGCCGUUUGUUGCCAGGAUUCCCUGUCAGAUGUGCUUGUGUCCAUCUCACUUGAUAUUUAUAUCAACCAAAGGAACCAAAACAUCGAGGUGCAUGAUCAAGGAAACGAAGGAACUUGCUAUGCUCACGCUGCGGCAACUGUUCUCCAUUUGGCAAUGUACAGAAUUCUCGGUCGCGACGAUGGGUAUCCCGAGUUUGAGGAGCUUCGGGAUGAUAUGAUUAACCGUCAUGGCAGACAUGGUGCGAAUACACUUCGAGUGCUAGAGGAAAUUUGCCCAAUGUAUCGUUUACGUUGUCGAGAGGUUGAUGUAAAUGGAGCCAUGGAAGCUAUAACAGAGAAACGGCCAGUGGUAGCCAAAUUUCGUCUUACCAGGGAAGAAUGGAACACGUUCCAUCGCUUUUACGAGCGCAACAGAACAGGAAUUUUGACAAGUCGCGAUUUGGACAUCUGUGGACGUAGAAGAAAUUCGGACACAUCUGGACAUGCAGUUGUACUGACAAGUUUUAACAGUGAAUGCUUUCGACUGAUGAACUCCUACGGAGAAGAUUGGGGUGACACAGGUUUCUUUAGAAUAGAAAAUGCAGAAGUUCUUGACCUGAAAUUUAUUGACGUCUAUUGGGAAUCUGGAGACUUGUCUCAAAGAGAAAGGCGCUCUUAUUCUCAACAUGGAACUGAAGUUGCUGACAAAUUGAUGAAAACACUGAAAGCUUUGCAAGUUGCGACUUUUACAUGUCCGUUGUGUGGAGCGGAAUCAAAUGUCAACGAGUUUAGGGGAACGUUAUCACGAGCCUGUUGUCCAAGAUGUAAUGGGACUUUUUCCAGCAGUCGUGGAGAUGGGAACAUCUUGGCACUGAACAUAUAUCUGACAUCCUUGAGCAGGUAGACAAGAAGCAUUUAAAUGCAACAACAAUAGUGUUAAUCCAUUUAUGAAGUGCGUCUUACGUAAAUGACAAUUAUCGGGUUGGUUCGGGGUUUGCAAAGUGGAAAGCUUGCACACGAUGAGGGCUGCUAAAAAUAACGUAGAUUUUUGCUGUCAAAAGACGUCUAUUAGCAAUAUGAAGUAUGUAGCUGUAAUUUGCAAUUACUGUUUAAUUUAGUCAUAUACUUUUUGUAACAUUUUUUGCUAAUAUGCGAAGCACGUAGAAAGUGUUAAUUACCAUAGCUACGCAUAACCGGCGCAGUUGCUUUUUCGUCUUGUAUAACUUGAAUAUUCGCAUUGAUAGUCAACUUGUUUACCUGAAAAUAUGCCAUAGUGCAGCAACACGUCAAGGCGACUUGCUCCAAAAAUAUGGUGUUAUUCGGAUUUCGUACCACUGAAAAUUAAUAUGAAAUGAUCUGGAACAUUUAAACAGGUUAUUUUAAUGAGGAUUUAGAUAUUGGCGAACUAGUGAUUGUUUGAGCACCACUAAACUAGAAGAAUUGUAAAUAUGCGAGUUGUACGUUUUCAGCUGUUGCGGUACGGUUGGUUUGAGGAAAAUUCCUUAUCAAAGUGCUUGAGCUUCAAGCUGCUAUCCUACUAGUAUUGACAUUGUUAAAUAACAACUAAACGAAAAUGAUUUUUUAGCUCUAAAUGCUUAUUAGCAUGUGUUUUGUAUGACUGUGAGUCUUGAAAUUCUACACAUGCAAACAUUGGGUGUCUUUUUAUGUCAGAAUGCUUUAUAUGUAACCUAGAGCUUUCAUUCAUAGUAUCUCGCACAUGUAACUGAGAGAUGACCAUGCAAAACAAAGAUUUAGUAAUUUGUCAUUUGUAAAUAUUCGUGAAUUUUAUUUCUAUUUUUGCCUUGUAGCAGUAGCAUGGAACAAUGACGCCUCGCAUUUUGGCCAAAUUAUGUCCCCUGUGAACUUAAAACUUCUUGUUAAAGUUUUGAAUGAUUCUAUCUCCAACACUAAUGCAGAUACCGGGUUCAAACUUGAUUGUUAUUCUUACAUGUAGGGUAAUAUUCCUGCUUCUGUGACAACAAUUCGAAUAGUUGAGCAUUUGCUGUCUUACGGACAGCUCUUGUUUUAUUAGUAAAUCAUUGUCUGUUAGAUCAGUACUGAAAGCAAAUAACAAAGUUCGUUUCGCUUAAUCUGUUCAUGGGAAAUGUGUGUGGCCCUGGUCUUCGUUUAUUGAGAAGUCCAACAUCACACAUUCGAAUAUCAAAAGCGGAAGCUAUAGUUGAAAUUGGCUGAUAAUUGACUCAUUCCAUACAGACAUGCUUAAACAGGAUGAACAUAAGGCCUUUAUACUGUGAUAACUUCAGGCAAUGUAUUGACAGGUUUCGGCCGCUGAAAUAAACAAGCUUUGGUUCAAAGGAAAAUAAUUCCUUACGCGGCCAAAAUUUGAAAUAAACCGAUGCUAGGCGAUAUGUCCGGUGUUUCUCGUUUCAGUCUCUUAUGAACAGAUUCAAAGCGACACUGCAAUUAUUUUUCUUGGUUGCGUUCUAUUAUCCCUAUCCCUUAUAUAUCAAAUGCUUUUUUAAGAAGCGGUGGAGAAUGAUUUGAUUAAGAAGGCUAAAUUAAA